AGCACUUAUUGAAUAAAUAUGGAACAUAGCUCGUAACACCUUUUUUUUUCUGUGAUAUAUCUUUCUUCCUUUCCAUUGGGAAAUUUAAGAACAAAUACUCUUGCAAAAUGGAAGGCUUCAUUUGAAAUUUCCAGUGAAACUUGAGUCAUCUUAGACUGCAUGAAAAUGUGCCUUCGAUUUGGAUUGUGUCAGGAAUGAUAUGAUUCCCUCUACUUACGGUAAGAUGCAAAUUAUGUUUCUCCAUUUAUAUGAGUAAAUUCUAUCAUUUCUUUGAGAUAUAAAAUUAUAAACUAUGUAUCAAUAUUAUUUUGGACAUUUCAUAUUUAUAGGAAAUGCAAUGAUGGCAGUAUGCGGUGCUAUAAAUUUCAUAUUUUAACUCUUAAUUGUUUUGUGUACUGAAUUUCAUAUUCAGAUUCAAGUGAUGAUUCAAUAUGAUGACACUGUUGUUAAAACGAAAUUUAUCUUUUUUUGGCCAAGUAGACUGGGUAUUGACAUUUAAAUUAUGUUGCCUAAUCCUAUAUUAACUUAGGCGAGAAAUAAUAGUUUUAAACUAUGGAAAGAAAUGUAAUACUAAUUAAUAAUAGUAUUUAUUUGAUGUCUUUCUUCCCCCGAUGCUAUAAAUAUGACAUAGAAAUUUUAUGAAAGAGACAUAAUGAGAAGGAGAAAAAUGACAAAGAAACGGAGAGAAUAAGGCGAUACAUCUAAUUAAGUGGGACAAUGUCACAUUGAACAAGAAAUUAGCAGCCUUAGAAAUAACUAGAUGAAGGAAAAAAAUAAUUUUCUCAUGAAGUGGUUAUGAAAAUAUAAUGUGGAAGUAAAGGUAAUUUUAAAAAGGGUGAUUACAAAAGUGUGGGUUCAAAAAGGUGAAUGGUACAUGUACAACUUUACAAGGCCAUAUGAAAAUGAAAUUUCGAAAACAUAUAAGAGGGAUGUGGAUUCUAAGGAAGAAAAAUAGCAUUGGGGCAUGACACGACAACUGAAGAAGUCACAUACUUUUGCUUUGUAACCGGUAUUUAAUGGGUAUUGUAUAAAAUUACUUCAUAUCAAACAAAGAAAUCUUCUUUUAA